GUUUUGGCUCAGUGGUAGAGUGCUUGCCUAGCAUGCAUGAGGCACUGGGUUUGAUUCCUGGCACCACA
rnacentral:tRNA from 1 species